rnacentral:lncRNA from 1 species
GAGGAUCGGAUAGAAGCUGAUGUCAGAAAAUCGCUUCAUCUUGAUUAAUUUUUUAGAUUUUUUUUUUGAUAUUUAAAAAAAUUAUAUCAAUUCAUCAAUGAAUAUUCAAUCAUAAUUUGAAAAAAAAAAUUAGAUUGGAUGGUGGAAGAUCCUCGAAACAGAACAAACCCUCUGCCAUGAUUCGCUCUCAUUAUAAUGUUGACA